rnacentral:sRNA from 1 species
GUUUUGCGUAAGCGAUUGCAGUGAUAUCCUUUUAUUUUUUGGAAUAUUUUGAGAUCCCCAGUUUAGAGCCCUUAAUAAACAAUACAACCGUUCCAUAAAAAUAAAAGAUAUAACGGAAAGCGCGACCCUUU